ACAUCAAGAUCAAGAGCAACUCGGAGACGGUCAAAAUUCGUAAACAGCUUCACUAUUUUCGUUAUUUCUUCGUUAUAACGCUUCGUAACGCCGCCCAAAGCCUACAGAUGGAGGAUAAGUGUUUGAGGAGUGAUUUGAGAGGAGGAAAUGGCGGGAGAAGAGGAGAGAGGUGGCGUGAAGAGGAGUUGAAGAAGAGUGAUUUUGGUAAGAUCAUGGAGCCAAGCUGAACGGAAGACUGGGAGAGAUGGAAUGAACUGGCGGUGUGUCCUGAGCUGUGUGGGGACCAGACAGCUGCUGAAGGGAAGGACUGUGCAGGCCUGGUGGUGUGUGGGGCCCUUCAGCAGCCAGCCCUCUAAUAAGCUUCUGGGAUGGCUUGUAGAGGCUGGUGGUGAUGCAGUCUUCCAGUUGGGACGCCCUGUACUGGGAGAAGUCUUGCCCAUGGUGGUGGUGAUACAAGCCUUCA